rnacentral:rRNA from 1 species
UUAUCUCUGUAGAGUCUGCAUAUCAAUAAGCGGAGGAAAAGAAACUAACAAGGAUUCCCCUAGUAACGGCGAGUGAAGCGGGAAGAGCUCAAAUUUGAAAUCUUCAAGGUUUGACCUUGACGAAUUGUAGUUUAAAGAAGUGUUUUCGGUUAGAGGAGUAGUAAAAGUUCUUUGGAAUAGGACAUCAUAGAGGGUGAGAAUCCCGUAUUUGACUAUUCUUUCUAGCUUUGUGAUACACUUUCAAAGAGUCGGAUUGUUUGGGAAUGCAGUCCAAAAUGGGUGGUAAAUUUCAUCUAAAGCUAAAUAUUGGCGAGAGACCGAUAGCGAACAAGUACCGUGAGGGAAAGAUGGAAAAGGAACUUUGAAAAGAGAGUUAAACAGUACGUGAAAUUGUCAAAAGGGAAGCGUUUGACACCAGUGUUGUUUUUCCGGAAAAUCAAUUAAAAAUUGAUUCAUGCCAGGUUGUAUUGACCUUAUCAGCUUGCAAUUUGGUUUUGGGUCUCUUUUUGAUGCACUUUUCGGUUAACAAGUCAACAUCAAUUUCCUUUGCUGUAAAAAGGUAAGAGGAAGGUGGCUUCAAUUUCGGUUGAAGUGUUUAUAGCCUUUUAUCUCUGCAGUCGGGGAGAUUGAGGUCUGCAGCGUAGAUCCUUCAGGGGCUAGAUACAUUUAUGCUAAGUUAUAGCUUUUCAUAGACAACUUGUUGACUAUGUUUAGUCAUGUAGCUUACUCGUAAGUGCUAUUUUACCUACGCUUAGGAUGUUGAAGACUCUACAGAGAUA